rnacentral:rRNA from 1 species
UAACCCUACGGGGGGCAGCAGUGGGGAAUAUUGCACAAUGGGGGAAACCCUGAUGCAGCAACGCCGCGUGAGUGAUGACGGCCUUCGGGUUGUAAAUCUCUGUCUUCAGGGACGAUAAUGACGGUACCUGAGGAGGAAGCCACGGCUAACUACGUGCCAGCAGCCGCGGUAAUACGUAGGGAGCAAGCGUUGUCCGGAAUUACUGGGCGUAAAGGGCGCGUAGGUGGGCGCUUAAGUCAGGUGUGAAAACUCCGGGCUCAACCUGGAGACUGCACUUGAAACUGGGUGUCUUGAGGGCAGGAGAG